AGUGUGAUAACAGCGCUCAACAGGAGGACAAAAUUGAGCUUUAAUCCACAUUAUGGAAAUGUUGGUAAAAAAUGCAUCAACAGUUUUAGAACUGAUUAUAUUUGGACCCCGUUCAAUUACAGAACGUCUUGCAAUAGUUUGUUGAAUGGAAGUGAAGUGAGUGGAGGGAGAUUUGAAAAGAUAGCAGCAUCGAUUGCCUCUGGCUGUCUCUGAGAACAGCAUGGAGAACAGCAUGGAGAUUAUUGUGUUGCUGUGGACAUGAUAAUUCUGAGAUGAAGCUCUCAGUUGAAGAAACGGUGCCAUCUAGUGGCUGGAGCACUGUACGUCCAUGGUUUACCAAUCACAGUGAAGAUGGAAGAUAUUCAUCACAUCAGUUUAGAAUACAUGGACCAUGUUGAAGAAAGAAAGCCUCGUUUACAACACAGAGGAAGGAUCCCUGUGAUCAUAUGUCCGUCCCAGAGUCAGGGACACCACAGGAGUGGGUGUCAAGAAGAGGAGCACAGUUACUGCGUUUUGCCAACAGUGUGUAAUGCUCCUAAUUGAAGCUUGCAGUGGUUUGUCAAAGUGCAGUAGCAUGCUCCUCCUCGGGAGACCGCUCUCUCCCCCUAUUUUUCACAAGGAGUCAAGAUCCUAAACCGGAUGCGUCUCUCUACAUGUGAACAUGGCCAGCUCCAGAAUUUGUUCUAGUGCAUAAAACAGACCCACGUUAGCUUGCAUCCAUGCAAGGCUGCAUUAGAGUAUUAGCUGAAGUGUAAUUUCUACACCACUGAACAGGAAUGCAAAAAUAGGUACGUUUUGAAGAAAAAAUUAAAUUGUGGAUUAUUCUUAUUUUUGUACAUUAGGUGGAUUUCCAUCCAACUAUUUAUGCACAUUUUGAAAUUGCGCAUAUGAAAUCCUGAAUGGGAACACUUGAUAUGCGAAUAAACUUUCUAAAUUCACUUAAAAAUGAGUUUCGCAUUAGUUAAAAUGUGCAUUUAAGGUGAUUGAAACCAAACGAUAAUGUAUUUUGACCAUUUGUGCACGUGUUAUGUGCGAUAUUUUGAUGUGACUAGGCUACCAAAAGGUCCGACCUUGGCGCACAAUUCUUUCAACAUAGCGCUUGUCAUUCGGAAGUGUUUAGCCCACAGCUGGACGAUAACGUGGGUCCUCACAAUCCACCAGAACAGUUUUGAGAGCGGGCGCUCCCAGGUAUGCGUAGACUGGCGGUGUGGGGGCAGGUAGAGGUCAUUCAGCUGCUUCAUCACGACGAGGCGGCUCCAUAAUGAUAAUGUGCAUUACAUAGUGGAUUGAAAUGUGCAACAAUUCGUAUUUUCUUACGUUUCAUUUUAAAAAUUGCUAAACAUUUUGGAUGGAAACCCUGCAAAUGUAGUAACGAAUAAAGAACGUCCCGCUAACAAUGUAUGAAUAACAUUUUCAGAACGUUUAUCAAUGAGAGAAAAAGAACAUAAUAUUAAAAUGUUAUAUUGUUAUUUUAAUAAUUAAUAUUACUUUUUAUUCUUCUUACACACACACACAGUGAUUUAGCAUAGCUUUUCCCCUUUAGUUGGAUAUUACAGUUGUUGACACAUGUUAUAACAUUUUCCUGUAAUUUGUUGUUGUUGCUCUUUUCAUAAAAACGACACUUCUCUAGAGUAAUCUCUCAGGACUCAAAGAAAAUUGUUGAAGCCAUAAUACAAUUUACCUUUGUUUGUUGAUGGAUGUAUUUUAUUGAUCAUUGAAGGGAAAUUCCAAAUGUCCUACUGGCACAAUAAAAAUUCCAAUGAGAUCAUGGAAGUUUAUCACUUCCCAAAAUUACUUGUGCACAAAGCCUUAUUUUUCUAUAUUAUUGCCUGAUUAAUAAACUGGCCUAUCAAUAUUAGUUUCAAUGGCGGACAGUCAAGUUACGGCAAAUCCACUAUAUACUGUAAUAAUCCAUUACGUGCAUUAACAAAUGUAACACUGCAUGUAGAAUAUGCAAAUGAGCUUCAUUCAUGUUUUCUGUCAA